rnacentral:ncRNA from 1 species
CAGAGUAAAAGAAUACGCGUAAAGUGCUUGCUGUACGGGGAGUUGACAGCAUGACGAAAGGAAGCCCCUGCGGUGUAUUCUUUGCAUCCCGCUGU